UACGUAGGGUGCAAGCGUUAUCCGGAAUUAUUGGGCGUAAAGAGCUCGUAGGCGGUUUGUCGCGUCUGCUGUGAAAACUGGGGGCUCAACCCCCAGCCUGCAGUGGGUACGGGCAGACUAGAGUGUGGUAGGGGAGACUGGAAUUCCUGGUGUAGCGGUGAAAUGCGCAGAUAUCAGGAGGAACACCGAUGGCGAAGGCAGGUCUCUGGGCCACUACUGACGCUGAGAAGCGAAAGCAUGGGGAGCGAACAGG
rnacentral:rRNA from 1 species